rnacentral:rRNA from 1 species
AGAGUUUGAUCAUGGCUCAGGAUGAACGCUGGCGGCGUGCCUAACACAUGCAAGUCGAACGGAGCUUAUUCUGCGGAGGUUCGAUCAAAGCGGGUUAAGUUAGUGGCGGACGGGUGAGUAACGCGUGGAGAACCUGCCCUGUACCGGGGGAUAACAGCCGGAAACGGCUGCUAAUACCGCAUAAGCGCACGAAGGCGCAUGCCUUAGUGUGAAAAAACUCCGGUGGUACAGGAUGGCUCCGCGUUGGAUUAGCCAGUUGGCGGGGUAACGGCCCACCAAAGCGACGAUCCAUAGCCGGCCUGAGAGGGUGGACGGCCACAUUGGGACUGAGACACGGCCCAGACUCCUACGGGAGGCAGCAGUGGGGAAUAUUGCACAAUGGGGGAAACCCUGAUGCAGCCGACGCCGCGUGAAGGAAGAAGUAUCUCGGUAUGUAAACUUCUAUCAGCAGGGAAGAUGAUGACGGUACCUGACUAAGAAGCCCCGGCUAACUACGUGCCAGCAGCAGC